rnacentral:lncRNA from 1 species
GUCUCAAAUAGCAUUUGAAGGGUUGUAAUAAACUGUUAUAGAUUGUCCUAUGGACUGCCCCCCCCCACCCACCCCGCCGCCACCAACACACACAACCCCACCCCGGAGUCAGCUAAGUGUCUUUCCUAAGAAACAUUCCUGAGCUCUUGGAAAGACCGCCUCAUCUCUGUGCCCAUCUUGGACUCAAGCUCCCUCCAGCACUGGCAUCCUCGAACUGUCAUGUCGUAUACUCUUGACGCAUCAAUCUCCUCUCCAGAACUAAGCCCCUGGGAAGACAUCUUCCCAUCUCAGCGUUUGGGGCCCUAACACGAUGCUCGGCUCCAAGAGGCGCUGUAGAAGGGCGAUGCGGAGCCUCUUCUGGGGAUAGAGCAUGGGACGGACAAGCAGCUCUGAAGUGAGGCAAGGGGGACACCUUGGCUCUGCGGGUGUGUCCCAGACUGUGACCGAGGGUGGAGGGAUCAGUCGCAAGAAAGAUCAGUUAUCAGCCUCUAACCCUGCGAUUCGUAAUUAACGAAGUGUUCGCGGAAUGAUACUGCGGUUUUGAAGAAGUCAAGCUUGAGGGAGGAGAAAGAGCCAGGGAGAGGGGAGAGGAGCCCCGGAAAAGCAGCAGAAGUGGAGAAGCCGAUAGGCGCGCCCAGGUUCCGCGUGGUCUUUCUCUCCUCGGAGCCGCGUGGGGCUCCGACUCCCGCGCCCCAGCGCUCGGUGCGCUGUUGCCGCGUGGAGCGCCCGCGGCGGGGACCUCUCCUUGCACUGCCAUCUUCAGGUGUGGCAACUCCAGGUCUGCCUAACCUUGCCAGGCGGGAGGCCGUCCAGUCCUUCAGGAAGAGUCGCUGGCCCCGGGUUUAGGAGCCUUCACACUCCUUUUAUCGUGACUAUCUGGCAGUUCCAAUAGAAGUAUUUUUCAAACCAGCGGUAUUUACAGGGGCAAGACUGGGCUGCUCCGUGGAGCCUGGGACCGUAUCAGCCUAUGAGAGCAGUGGAGUCACUCGCCUUGCGGAGCAAGCUGCCGUCAGAAAAGAUUCUUUUCGAGCAUUUAAUCAAGUUCAAGCGCUCGGCCCUUGAACGUUGCAGGAGCAGCUUCACGUUUCGGCCUUUGAAAAGGUAUCGUAAUGUUAUUGCUUGUUUUGCUUCUAGAAGCGGCGGGUUUAGGAAAUGACUUGGGCGGGUUCAUCUGUGAGGCCGAAGACACUGAC